CGCACAUUGCGCCCUUUGGUAUUCCUUAGGGCAUGCCUGUUCGAGCGUCAUCUAACCCCUCAAGCAACGCUUGGUGUUGGGCGCCUGUCCCGCCUCCGCGCGCGGACUCGCCUCGAAGACAUUGGCGGCCUGUGUAUUGGCCACGAGCGCAGCAGACCCGCGGCUCGUGCCCUCUCGCGCGGGCGCUCCAUGAAGCGACCACCCCCAGUUUUGACCUCGGAUCAGGUAGGGAUACCCGCUGAACUUAA
rnacentral:misc_RNA from 1 species